rnacentral:rRNA from 1 species
GAUGAACGCUGGCGGCGUGCUUAACACAUGCAAGUCGAACGGUGAAGCUCCAGCUUGCUGGAGUGGAUCAGUGGCGAACGGGUGAGUAACACGUGAGCAACCUGCCCCUGACUCUGGGAUAACAGCCGGAAACGGCUGCUAAUACCGGAUAUGCACCAUGAACGCAUGUUCUGUGGUGGGAAAGAUUUUUCGGUUGGGGAUGGGCUCGCGGCCUAUCAGCUUGUUGGUGAGGUAAUGGCUCACCAAGGCGUCGACGGGUAGCCGGCCUGAGAGGGUGACCGGCCACACUGGGACUGAGACACGGCCCAGACUCCUACGGGAGGCAGCAGUGGGGAAUAUUGCACAAUGGGCGAAAGCCUGAUGCAGCAACGCCGCGUGAGGGAUGACGGCCUUCGGGUUGUAAACCUCUUUUAGCAGGGAAGAAGCGAGAGUGACGGUACCUGCAGAAAAAGCGCUGGCUAACUACGUG